GGAUGUCUGAGAGAGACCAGGCUGCAACUUAUGUCACCCCCUUGAUCACCAGGGUUGAUUUGGCUGAUGUGGCUGGUGAGGGAGUGUCCCUUCGACUCUCACAGCUCCAAGUGUAUCCCCCCUGAAGCCUUGUGCUUUGACAAAGAGGAUAACCUUCCCAGCGUAGAACACCAGUCUUAAGUUAACGGUAUAUGAGUAGCUGUGCUCCCAUGUAUAACAUCCAAGCAAACCCUCAAAGGGGUGUUUAAGAAUACCCCCAAAACACUAUCAGAGUGGUUCAAGAGAUAGUUUGUAUUACAAAUCUAUGCUUU
rnacentral:snRNA from 1 species